rnacentral:rRNA from 1 species
GACGAACCGUGCGAAUGUUGUUCGGAAUCACUGGGCUUAAAGGGCGCGUAGGCGGGCUGUCAAGUCUGGGGUGAAAUGCCGCGGCUCAACCGUGGAACUGCCUUAGAUACUGACGGCCUCGAGGAAGGUAGGGGCAUGCGGAACUGUAGGUGGAGCGGUGAAAUGCGUUGAUAUCUACAGGAACUCCGGUGGCGAAAGCGGCGUGCUGGACCUUUUCUGACGCUGAGGCGCGAAAGCGUGGGGAGCGAACAGG